rnacentral:misc_RNA from 1 species
GAGUCCCAAAGCUAUUUUUCUCUCUCCCAAUUCUCCAUGGAUUAGAGCCUCGGCAUUGCAUCCCUUCUUUGAAAUUAUCUUUACUAUUUUUCUUUUAUUUUUCUCCUUUGUUUCUUGGAAAGAAACAGAUCCAGAAGCACACAAAUUCAGAAUAAGUUACCCUUGUUUAAAUUCCAAAACCUACCAACUCCAAAACCCAGCCACUUUCACCUUUGAUUCUUCUCUGCUCUUUGACCCCAGUCACUGUCCCUUUCACUUCUUCAUUGUUCUUUGACCCCAGCUUGCCCCUCUACCCUUUUAGCAAAGCAAUAACAUGAGAAAGAAUGAUGGGAAGCCAACUUUCUUUACUUCAAAAGUAUCAAAAGGUUUGGCAGUCGGAUUUUAUGGGCAUUUUAGGGAUUAAGUAAACAGUCAAGCCAUUUGACCAGCUAAUUUCUUACUGACUAAUAGAAAAGGGCCCCAAAUUUUAAUGGAGGGGCUUUGUAGUUAACAGAAAUAAACUACAGGAAUAUCUUAGUUCGAUUUUGAAACAGUCAGGGCUUAGUAGUAACUAUGACUAAACCACAGGGGAAUAAUAGCCAUUAACCCCUUGAUAAAUGCUGUUUUCUUAUCAGAAGUCAAUUUACCCCCUUAAAAUCCUAUUCAUAAAAAUACUAGCAAGGAACACACUAUCACUGUGUUCAGUUCACA